rnacentral:pre_miRNA from 1 species
GGGCGGAGGCCGGAUCCUGGGCUGUGUCCCGGCACCCUGUGCUACGGGGCCUGCGCUGUUGGAUUCACGCUCCUAGUGGCGCAGCCCCCU